AAACUGAAGAGUUUGAUCAUGGCUCAGAUUGAACGCUGGCGGCAUGCCUAACACAUGCAAGUCGAACGGAAACGAUGCUAGCUUGCUAGCAGGCGUC
rnacentral:rRNA from 1 species